GGGCCGCACGCGCGCUACACUGACACAAGCAGCGAGUUUUCCUUGUCCGAAAGGUCUGGGUAAUCUUGUAAAUCUGUGUCGUGAUAGGGAUAGAUUAUUGCAAUUAUUAAUCUUGAACGAGGAAUUCCUAGUAAAUGCGGAUCAUCAGUUCGCGUUGAUUACGUCCCUGCCCUUUGUACACACCGCCCGUCGCACCUACCGAUUGGAUGAUUCGGUGAAACUUUCGGACCGUGUGCAGGACGCUCUCGGGCGACUUGUGCGUGGGAAGUUAUUUAAACCUCAUCAUCUAGAGGAAGGUGAAGUCGUAACAAGGUUUCCGUAGGUGAACCUGCGGAAGGAUC
rnacentral:rRNA from 1 species